rnacentral:rRNA from 1 species
UACAGAGGAGCCAAGCGUUGUCCGGAUUGACUGGGCGUAAAGCGCACGCAGGCGGUCGGGCGCGUGGGGUGUGAAAUCUGGCCGCUUAACGGCCAGGCGCCAUCCCAUACGGCUCGACUGGAGUGAUGCAGAGGUCGAUGGAAUUGCCGGUGUAGUGGUGAAAUGCGUAGAGAUCGGUAGGAACACCCAGGGGGAAACCAGUCGACUGGGCAUCUACUGACGCUGAGGUGCGAGAGCGUGGGGAGCGAACCGG